AAAAACUGAGAAAAUAUGCAAAUCAAACUGUCGUCAAAAACUCGACAUGACACUCAUUUGAUGUAAAUUGAACGUCAAACAUAUUGGCC